rnacentral:rRNA from 1 species
GAUGAACGCUGGCGGCGUGCCUAAUACAUGCAAGUCGAGCGAACGGACGAGAAGCUUGCUUCUCUGAUGUUAGCGGCGGACGGGUGAGUAACACGUGGAUAACCUACCUAUAAGACUGGGAUAACUUCGGGAAACCGUAGCUAGUACCGGAUAAUAUUUUGAACCGCAUGGUUCAAAAGUGAAAGACGGUCUUGCUGUCACUUAUAGAUGGAUCCGCGCUGCAUUAGCUAGUUGGUAAGGUAACGGCUUACAAGGCAACGAUGCAUAGCCGACCUGAGAGGGUGAUCGGCCACACUGGAACUGAGACACGGUCCAGACUCCUACGGGAGGCAGCAGUAGGGAAUCUUCCGCAAUGGGCGAAAGCCUGACGGAGCAACGCCGCGUGAGUGAUGAAGGUCUUCGGAUCGUAAAACUCUGUUAUUAGGGAAGAACAUAUGUGUAAGUAACUGUGCACAUCUUGACGGUACCUAAUCAGAAAGCCACGGCUAACUACGUG